GAAAAAGAAAAGGAAAGGCAAAAUGGAGGGGGAGCAGCUUCUUGUGUUUGUCGCCGGUAGCGGCCGGCUAAGAGCAGGAGGAGGAGCUAACGGAGGCCGCCGAGGAAGACGCUGGCCUCGGAGCGGGAGGAGCUAACGGAGGCCGCCGAGGAAGACGCUGGCCUCGGAGCGGACGGGCAUCCGGCGGCUGCGAGCUUUGCGGCCGGCAUAUCCAGCGAGGGAGGCGAUUGCGACGAAUCGGCCGGGAGGCGCCGGAUCUGGUGGCUUCGUCACCGCAGAUGGCCGGCCGAGCUCAGGACGACUCGGGCGCCAUGUCGAGAGACGUGGUCGACAGCGAGAAGCGGGCCUGACUCGCGAGCAUGACGCCAUCCCACCAUGCUGCAACACAAUCAACACCGGUCCAAAGAAACAGAGAAGAUACAUGCCUCCAUGAGGCCUGAGCAAGAUACAAUGACAUUCCGAUACAAUGACAUUCCUUCACAGCUUUCCAAUUAAAAUAUCUCCAGAUUGUUGCUUCCUACAUACUAAACAUAAGAAUGCAAUGAUAGUAUGAAGAAUAAAAUAUUAAGUCAAUUUUUGAUCAAUUUGUCUUACAUGCAUCUCCGAAUCUAAUUUCCCGUGCUUAUAUCCGCCAGUGGGUUUGAAAGCCUACAAAAAUAAUCUCAUUUCAUCUUUUAAACUUGAUUGAGAAAUAUUUUAGGUUGAGAAAGAUUUUGUCAAGAUUUGAGAUCCACUUACAUGUCAUUGAUGUAUUGUCUGUUUGGGGUGCGAUCAGCAAGUUCAGCUAGUCCCUGUAAUAUCUUUGGCAGGAAAUUUUUCAUGUGUAGAGCAAAUGCUGCCUCAAUUUGUUCUUCUGGGAACUGUUUAGUGAAAAAACAGUGUUAGACAUAAAUAUGUUUUCACUAGUGAAAAAAUAAUGGAGUAAGUAUUAUACUAACCCUGUUUCUUGCAUGCUUCAAAAAAUUAUUGGCAAAAUGAAGACAACCUUUUGCAUUAUCAGUAUAUAAGGGAUUUUUCCAUUGUAAUGGUUUCCCGGAUGGUUGAUAGAUAAGAACAUUAUUGAGUUCAGGAACAAGCUGCGCAGAACCUUUCCAAGCAUAUGCAUAUGGUCCCAUACUAGCUCUUAAACUAGCGUGUGAAGCAUAUGCUGCCAUAGCUUUUAUAUUAGCCUGAAGAUGUGCAGGGUGUCUAUGUACCACAUUGUCUAAAAUCAUCAAUUGUUUCAUCCUAUCAACAUAUGUUUCAAUACUAGGAUGAUUUGUGACAAACGCAACUAUUGCAUCGUUUCUGGAGUUCACCCCACAAGGACAUGUUCUUAGGAAUUCAAGGAGAUGAUCGAAAUGUACUGGAUACACUGGUCCAAACCUUGUAGAGAAUAUAUUGUAGAGACUAGUAUAAUCCCGAGCACAUGGAUCUUUAUCAAAUGCCACUACAGGGACAUUUUCU
rnacentral:sRNA from 1 species